rnacentral:rRNA from 1 species
AAUGAACGCUGGCGGCAUGCCUAACACAUGCAAGUCGAACGAAGCCUUCGGGCUUAGUGGCGCACGGGUGCGUAACGCGUGGGAAUCUACCCUUGGGUUCGGAAUAACAGUUAGAAAUGACUGCUAAUACCGGAUGAUGACGUAAGUCCAAAGAUUUAUCGCCCAGGGAUGAGCCCGCGUAGGAUUAGCUAGUUGGUGAGGUAAAAGCUCACCAAGGCGACGAUCCUUAGCNGGUCUGAGAGGAUGAUCAGCCACACUGGGACUGAGACACGGCCCAGACUCCUACGGGAGGCAGCAGUGGGGAAUAUUGGACAAUGGGCGAAAGCCUGAUCCAGCAAUGCCGCGUGAGUGAUGAAGGCCUUAGGGUUGUAAAGCUCUUUUACCCGGGAUGAUAAUGACAGUACCGGGAGAAUAAGCUCCGGCUAACUCCGUGCCAGCCGCCGCAGUAAC